GCCCGGUUAGCUCAGUCGGUAGAGCAUCUGACUUUUAAUCAGAGGGUCGCGGGUUCAAGUCCCUCAUCGGGCG
rfam:Strongylocentrotus purpuratus Contig34544_fixed, whole genome shotgun sequence.